AUAAGGGACCGUGAUUUAAUUUUUUUCAAUUUAAUAUAUUGUGCUUUCCUCCAUUAAUAAAUAUAGUAUAAAUUAUUAAUUACUGUAAAAUGAUGUUGGCAUGUCAAAUACAGUAAUGGUUUUAAAAAAUUAAUUAAAAUUUAUGGAUAAAUUUUUAUUUUUAAAAACUGUUGGCCCCCCUCCCAAGCCACAAGGUAGUUCCGCCAAUGCUGCUCAUGUUACCUAAAUCUGCACUCAAUAACCAACAAAGAUAAGCACAGCAGAAUAUCGUUUCCCAGAAAACCUGCAAAAACA
rnacentral:misc_RNA from 1 species